rnacentral:sRNA from 1 species
GAACGGGAGUUAGUAAAUAUUCACACAUCUAUUCUAAAACCAGAGCAAAUGAUAAUGAUUAUGACUACAACACUCCAAAUCUCAUGGGCUGCUUUUAUACAGGUCAGGCAUCUGUCCUAAGCCUCCUCCGCUGUGGGUCUGUCCCUUCACUUCCUGUACCCCAUGCGCACUCUUCUCGUACACAUGCUGCCUCAACUGAGCCAGGAUCUCAGAGUCUUCCCACCGCUGCGGGACAGGUCUAUAUGCAGGUUUGAAAGCACCGACAGUCUGCGCCCAUUCCCCACUCUUUGCGGCCCCGCUCUUCCACGUUUCCGUCGGCGUAUCCUUCACUGGCUUUUCGGAUGACUUUGGUGCAGGAGACGAAUUAGCACUAUCUGUCGUUGACGGAUCUUUUGCCUCUUGAGUUGCCCAGUAGUAGAUAUCCCAGUCAUUCUCGUCGAGAAACUUGUCAUAUUCCUGCAGUUGUCGUUCUGUCAUGGUUGGGAGAUGCCGGGAUGCAAAGGUCGAGAGGAGAAGGUCGGACUCUAGAAUGCCUCGCUUGCGACUUUGAUCUAUUUGCCUGUUAACUUGAUAUUUUGUAAGAUGAUCAAGGCGCAAUGUAGUAGACAUACACAGCAACCUAGC